AUGGGGGAGAGUGUGGAUGUUUGUGCAUUGAGGGCCAGGUUCCAUGCCAAGGCUGACAUGGCAGGUAGUCGAGACAGCACUUCUCCAAAACCUCCACUGCGAGGAUUUGGGAGAGGAGGCCCGAGGUUGGCAGACGUCAGUGUUACAGCAAACGGAGGGGUCCGAAAUAAACUCAUGCUUAUGGUUCCCACACCACCACUUCCUGGAUCAAGCUACUCCCCGGACCUUCAGAGGCUACCACCACAACAUGUAAGGGCUGAACUGGAGGGCAUGUCCACCAGCCCCGAGCCUCAUAGUGUCUUCCACCACCUUCCACCAUCACACCGACCCCACAGAGCCGCCAAGGAGCUACCCCUACCAGCAUCCCCACCGACAAACAUAGACCAACAAGGCAGGGUGAGAGUCACUGGGGAGCUUCUGCAGAACAUGAUGCUGAAGCAUAAGGGAGUACACCCUGGCCCUACCAAGCCGACGCCCCCCUCCCUGCCCAGCCAGAGAACUCUUACAGGGGUGACCCCCCUGAGAAGGGCCCUGCCCCCUGAGGCUCCCAGCCCUAUAAAACCCAGACGGCCCCCUCACAUCAACCUGCAGGCCCAUCAGAGAAGCACCAGAGCACUACACCUCGCAGGGCAACCAGGGUUAAGGAAGACUGACGGUGGCAGUAGUCAGUCUCUCCCAGGGCUAGUCAGUCUCUCUGGCCCCCCAAGACUUCCAACCAAGCCCAGCAGCCUUCCACGGCAGUGUACCCCAGUGUGA
rnacentral:lncRNA from 1 species